rnacentral:misc_RNA from 1 species
CAGAGUUGACAAGACUCCCUAAACCCUUUGUGAACCUUACCUAUAUCGUUGCUUCGGCGGGACCGGGCCCCGGCGCCCCCCGGCCCCGGACCAGGGCGCCCGCCGGAGGCUACCCAAACUCUUGAUCAUUUAGUGGUUUCCUCCUCUGAGUAUCACUAUACUAAUAAGUAA